GUACACAUAGAAUAUUAUCUUUGGAAUUUUACUUGAAUUAUUUUCUCUGUGCAGUUAUUAAUUUGAUAUGCAUAUAGAUUUAUUUAUUUCUACUUGUAUUCAAUAUUAAAGUUUAUAUUUUGUUUUUUCACAUUUAAUUUUAUUUCAAGAAGUGAAACAUUUCUGCAAUUCAGAAAUCGAAAUAUAAUUUGAAAUAUGAUUCAAAAUAUGAAAAUGAAAAGGUAUGCCUAGGGGAAUCUCAUCCCAUCCCUAUCCCAGCUCCUGAGUGAAACGACCGGUCUCCUAGAAGCCUGCUUUUCUGACAGCUGUUCUUGCUGUUAUGCUUGGAAGUAUCACAUCUAUUAGAGGUUUUCAUGGCACGUGGAAAGCAAAUCAUCAGCAUUUGGACUGUGGAAAACCAAGAAACCUCUGCAACAUGGAAGGAAGGUGCAGCCGGCCCUUUUCUGUGACAGGCAGACAAUGUCUCAGACCCUACAUCCCAGGCCUUCAAUGAAAGACUUGAUGUCUAGUUGGAACCUUGCCACCAAGGAGCUAGGUGAUCUCAGACAGUCUCACGACAUCUCUGGGUCCUUCUUUCUGCAUCAUUGAAAACAAGUGCCUUGAAUUGGAAUUACCAAAUAUUUAUUAUGACUUUUUCCAUCUUGAGAGAGGAAAGAUAAAGAUUUAACUCAAUGCUUGCUUUCCCUUAAGUAAAAAUUUCCACCAUGUUGCAAAAGGCCACCAUAUAUUUUUGCAUUCUACUCCCCAUUCUUCUGACUUGGAAAAUAAAGCAAGCUGAAUGUAAGCCCA
rnacentral:lncRNA from 1 species